rnacentral:rRNA from 1 species
UAACCUGCCUAUUAGGGGGGGAUAACUAUUGGAAACGAUAGCUAAUACCGCAUAACAGUAUGUAACACAUGUUAGAUGCUUGAAAGAUGCAAUUGCAUCGCUAGUAGAUGGACCUGCGUUGUAUUAGCUAGUAGGUAGGGUAAUGGCCUACCUAGGCGACGAUACAUAGCCGACCUGAGAGGGUGAUCAGCCACACUGGGACUGAGACACGGCCCAG